rnacentral:lncRNA from 1 species
GAAAAUAAAUAAAAUAAAAAAAUAACGAAUAAAAUAUAAAAAAAUACGUUUUUCUACAAAAAGAAUAAAGAAUCAGAGAGAAAAGAAAAUGAUGAUGAAAAUGCACCGUUUAAUAGGAACGUUGCACUAUUUUAUACAAAAUUAUACUUUUUUGAAAAAAAAUUGCACUCUUGGGACAAAAAUUACACUAUUUCUUCUCAUUCACACAAAAAUAAAGAAGAAGGAAGAGGAGGAAGAAAAGAAAUGAUAUAAUUUUCGUCCAAAGAGUACAACUUUCUUUCAAAUAGUGCAAAUUUUAUUCAGAAAAGUUUUACUUGAAUUAGAUAGAAAAGAAGAAAAAUAUAUAAGUUAUACUAUUUCAGAGUAAUGUUGCACUGUUUUAAAGAAAAUUAAGGCUGGGGUUACUAUACUCAUAUAAAUAUAUAGCCCUUUGUACUCAUAACUUUUCAACCGUUCGGAUGAAAAAAAAUAUGCUGUUAGGAUGAGAGUGGUUACGAUUAGGUUGAUAGUGGGCCCCCUAGGGUUGACUGGGUUGUUGGUUGAAUAGUAUAAUCUAACGGGUGAAAAUGAUUAAAGAUUAGAUCAAACGAUCAAAAACUUAUGAGUACAAAAGGCUUUAUACUCAUAAGAGUAUAGUAGCCGGACUCAAAAAAUUAAACUAUUUGAGAGAAAAAUUAAACUUUACUGAAUAAAAUUUACACUACUUGAAAAAAAAUUGCACUCUUUGGACGAAAAUUAUACUAUUUCUUUUCUUAUUCCUCCUUUAUUUUCGUGUAAAUGAUAAGAAAUAGUGUAUUUUUUGCCCAAAAAGUAUAAUUUUUAUUCAGAAAAGUGUAAUUUUUUAAAACAGUGCAACAUUCCUCUGAAACAGUGCAUCUUCGUCAUGUUCUUCUUUUCUCUCUGGUUCUUUAUUUUUCUUAUAUAAAAAAAAUAUUUUUUUAUAUUAUAUUCAUUAUUUUUUUAUUUUAUUUAUUUUUUAUUUUUUUUCUUGGUUUUGCUCUCACCCAUACUCACUCCGAGACUUUGUUUUCCA